CAAGUAUAACCAGGAAAUAGAAACUAUUCCGACAUUUUAAACUCAGCGGAACAACAAAGUUUGGGGAUUAUCAAAGAAACUGAAAACGUCCCAGCGGACACUUAAAGGUGUUGAAUGUAACAGCUGAGGUUGCUGAAAGGUAUAAAGGAUUAUUUAAAAGAAAAAGAACAAACACCAACAACGAGAACAGUAUUUACUUUCUGUCUGACAUCUGCUUGAAAGCAUUGAAAGCAUCAGAGAAUGGUCUACCGGAUUGUGGUCAAGGAUGAAAGGGGGAUUCCUCGGACGAUGGACCUCAGCAACACAGAGCUGGAGAUGCAGAGAAUAACCGUGGGUCAGCUGAAGACAAGGAUAUCGAAGGUCUGUGGAAUCCCAGGUGACAGAAGAAAACAAUCUCCCACAGCGCUCCCAUCAGUCUCCUCGGGCCGUCCACUCACUGUGAACAGAAACAGAUACAGAUGUUAAUAAAAAUAAACAGCAGAGGCCGUCUUAUUCCAACAAAAAAAACGAGCUUUGGUAGGAUUAAAACAAAAAUGGAAGUAGUAUUUGAUAAGAAAUGAAAAGAUUCUUUUGUUUAGGUAACACAAUCUUAUCAUAUGCUGUAGUUUCUGCAUAUGGUCUAUAUAAACAAUAGAAACAAAGAGAAGUGAAACACCUCAAAAUGCUCCGUUAUCCAUCUACAUAUGUGCAGCAGCCUAGUUGUUCUCAUACCAGCGAGUUUAGAUUAAGUUUAUGCCAUAAGAGCCUGCAUUCUUUAGAGUGGCCAGAAGGGGGAGUCCUCCCACUGAUUUUUCAAACAGCAUGUUUUCAAUAUCAUCAAUACUAUUGAGAUUUAAUAUAAAAGAGAUUCAAAUCAUGCCCAAUAAUCCCGACUCCGGGACAAACAGGUUAUGCCCACUUGGGUUUAUAAAAAUUUUUUUAGUUUUGAUUUUAAAAGGAAGUUCCUCAUAGCAGGAAUUUUAUUGAGACCUUUAAUAAAUAUAAAAGCAAUCAUCCAAUUCUGACGACCAGAUCUAGAAUACUGAUGAUAAAAUGGUAUUCAUCAUUGUUGCAGUGCAAUGACUUCACAUUUUCAAGUGUAGUAAAAGGAAAAUCUAUAACUUUAAGGAGUAUUGGGGGUUAAGUAAUUGCAA